GGCCGACGACUGCCACCACUUCCUGCAAUUCCGCUGGGAAGAGAACGUGUGGCGAUUCCAAUGCCUACCGUUCGGCCUCUCAUCGGCUCCCUGGUGCUUCACAAAGCUCAUGAAACCAGUGGUGGCCCUCCUACGCAGCAGGGGCGUAUGACUCAUAAUAUACCUGGACGAUAUCCUCAUCAUGGCCCAGGACCCGCUUCUGUUGCAAGAACAUUUCUCUUGGACGACAAAUCUGUUAGAAAACCUGGGCUUUCUGAUCAACUGGGAGAAGUCGGUCAUCGAACCCUCGCAGGCUAUAG